UGGGGAAUAUUGGACAAUGGGCGGAAGCCUGAUCCAGCAACGCCGCGUGAGGGAUGACGGCCUUCGGGUUGUAAACCUCUUUCAGUACCGACGAAGCGAAAGUGACGGUAGGUACAGAAGAAGGACCGGCCAACUACGUGCCAGCAGCCGCGGUAAUACGUAGGGUCCGAGCGUUGUCCGGAAUUAUUGGGCGUAAAGGGCUCGUAGGCGGUUUGUCGCGUCGGGAGUGAAAACAGCGGGCUUAACUCGUUGCUUGCUUUCGAUACGGGGCAGACUAGAGGUAUGCAGGGGAGAAUGGAAUUCCUGGUGUAGCGGUGAAAUGCGCAGAUAUCAGGAGGAACACCGGUGGCGAAGGCGGUUCUCUGGGCAUUACCUGACGCUGAGGAGCGAAAGUGUGGGGAGCGAACAGGAUUAGAUACCCUGGUAGUCCACACCGUAAACGUUGGGCGCUAGGUGUGGGGUCCUUUCCACGGAUUCCGUGCCGUAGCUAACGCAUUAAGCGCCCCGCCUGGGGAGUACGGCCGCAAGGCUAAAACUUAAAUGAAUUGACGGGGUC
rnacentral:rRNA from 1 species